rnacentral:rRNA from 1 species
UACAGAGGAUGGCGAGCGUUAUUCGGAAUUAUUGGGCGUAAAGGGCGCGAUAGGCGGCCAAGCGAAGUCCUGGGUGAAAGUCCCUCGGCUCAACCGAGGAACUGCCUCGGAAACUGCAUGGCUCGAAGGCCGGGAGAGGGUAGCGGGAAUUCCCAGUGUAGCGGUGAAAUGCGUAGAUAUUGGGAGGAACACCGGUGGCGAGGGCGGCUACCUGGACCGGUUCUGACGCUGAUGCGCGAAAGCGUGGGGAGCAAACAGGAUUAGAGUACCCCAAGUACGUC